rnacentral:rRNA from 1 species
AAAGGGAGAGGUUAGCGCAAGCGAAGCUUUGAACUGAAGCCCCCGGUGAACGGCGGCCGUAACUAUAACGGUCCUAAGGUAGCGAAAUUCCUUGUCGGGUAAGUUCCGACCCGCACGAAUCGCGUAACAAUUAGAGCACUGUCUCGACGAGGGACCCGGUGAAAUUGAAAUGGCUGUGAAGAUGCGGCCUACCCGCAGCAGGACAAAAAGACCCCGUGGAGCUUUACUGCAACUUGGCAUUGUAUUUGGACAUAAUUUGUGUAGCAUAGGUGGGAGGCUUUGAAGCUGGCGCGUCAGCGUCGGUGGAGCCACCAGUGAAAUACCACCCCCAUUAUGUUUAGAUCCUAACCCCAUUCCGUAAUCCGGAUGGGGGACCGUGCCAGGUGGGCAGUUUGACUGGGGCGGUCGCCUCCCAAAAGGUACGGAGGCGCCCAAAGGUUCCCUCAGGUGGAAUGGAAACCCACCAUAGAGUGUAAAGGCAUAAGGGAGCUUGACUGUAAGGCCAACGCGCCGAACAGAGACGAAAGUACGGGC